rnacentral:rRNA from 1 species
UACAGAGGGUGCGAGCGUUAAUCGGAUUUACUGGGCGUAAAGGGCGUGUAGGUGGUUAGUUAAGUGAGAUGUGAAAUCCCCGGGCUCAACCUGGGAAUGGCGAUGGAUACUGGCUCGCUAGAGUGCGGUAGAGGAGAGUGGAAUUCCCGGUGUAGCAGUGAAAUGCGUAGAGAUCGGGAGGAACAUCAGUUGCGAAGGCGGCUCUCUGGACCAGUACUGACACUGAGGCACGAAAGCGUGGGGAGCAAACAGG